AAGACCUUGCGCUUUUGGAGCGGCCGAUGUCUGAUUAGCUAGUUGGUGGGGUAAUGGCCUACCAAAGCUUCGAUCAGUAGCUGGUCUGAGAGGACGGCCAGCCACACUGGGACUGAGACACGGCCCAGACCCCUACGGGAGGCAGCAGUGGGGAAUUUUGGACAAUGGGCGCAAGCCUGAUCCAGCCAUGCCGCGUGAGUGAAGAAGGCCUUCGGGUUGUAAAGCUCUUUCAGCCGGGAAGAAAAGGCUGCGACUAAUAAUCGCAGUUCAUGACGGUACCGGAAGAAGAAGCACCGGCUAACUACGUGCCAGCAGCCGCGGUAAUACGUGGGGUGCGAGCGUUAAUCGGAAUUACUGGGCGUAAAGGGUGCGCAGGCGGUUUUGUAAGUCAGAUGUGAAAUCCCCGGGCUUAACCUGGGAACU
rnacentral:rRNA from 1 species